UACGUAGGGUCCAAGCGUUAUCCGGAGUUACUGGGCGUAAAGCGCACGUAGGCGGAUUUGUAAGUCAGGGGUGAAAUCCCGGGGCUCAACCUCGGAACUGCCUUUGAUACUGCAAAUCUCGAGUCCGGAAGAGGUGAGUGGAAUUCCUAGUGUAGAGGUGAAAUUCGUAGAUAUUAGGAAGAACACCAGUGGCGAAGGCGGCUCACUGGUCCGGUACUGACGCUGAGGUGCGAAAGCGUGGGGAGCAAACAGG
rnacentral:rRNA from 1 species